rnacentral:rRNA from 1 species
GAUGAACGCUGGCGGCGUGCCUAAUACAUGCAAGUCGAGCGAACGGACGAGAAGCUUGCUUCUCUGAUGUUAGCGGCGGACGGGUGAGUAACACGUGGAUAACCUACCUAUAAGACUGGGAUAACUUCGGGAAACCGGAGCUAAUACCGGAUAAUAUUUUGAACCGCAUGGUUCAAAAGUGAAAGACGGUCUUGCCGUCACUUAUAGAUGGAUCCGCGCUGCAUUAGCUAGUUGGUAAGGUAACGGCUUACCAAGGCAACGAUGCAUAGCCGACCUGAGAGGGUGGUCGGCCACACGGGAACUGAGACACGGUCCAGACUCCUACGGGAGGCAGCAGUAGGGAAUCUUCCGCAAUGGGCGAAAGCCUGACGGAGCAACGCCGCGUGAGUGAUGAAGGUCUUCGGAUCGUAAAACUCUGUUAUUAGGGAAGAACAUAUGUGUAAGUAACUGUGCACAUCUUGACGGUACCUAAUCAGAAAGCCACGGCUAACUACGUG